rnacentral:rRNA from 1 species
GAAGUUGGAGUCGCUAGUAAUCGCAGAUCAGCAACGCUGCGGUGAAUACGUUCCCGGGCCUUGUACACACCGCCCGCCACGUCAUGAAAGUCGGUAACACCCGAAGCCGGUGGCCUAACCCCUUGUGGGAGGGAGCCGUCGAAGGUGGGAUCGGCGAUUGGGACGAAGUCGUAACAAGGUAGCCGUACCGGAAGGUGCGGCUGGAUCACCUCCUUU